GACGAACGCUGGCGGCGUGCUUAACACAUGCAAGCCGAACGGUAAAGGGACCAGCUUGCUGGUUCUGGAUGAGUGGCGAACGGGUGAGUAACACGUGAGUCACCUGCCCCCUUCUUCUGGAUAACCGCAUGAAAGUGUGGCUAAUACGGGAUAUUCUGGGUCUGUCGCAUGGCGGGCCGGGGGAAGAUAUUGCUUCGGUGGGGGAUGGGGCUGCGGGCUAUCGGCUUGGUGGUGGGGGGUUGGCCGACCAAGGCGGGGACGGGUAGGCGGUCUGAGGGGGGGGACGGUCACAGUGGGACCGAGACACGGCCCAGAGUCCUACGGGAGGCAGCAGUGGGGAAGAUUGCACAGGGGACGCAAGCCUGAUGCAGCGACGCCGCGUGAGGGAUGGCGGCCUGCGGGAUGUAGACCUCUGGCGCGAGUGAAGCAGGCCUGCGCCUUGUGGGUGGGUUGACGGUAGCUGGAGAAGAAGCGCCGGCUAACUACGUG
rnacentral:rRNA from 1 species